AGAGUUUGAUCCUGGCUCAGGACGAACGCUGGCGGCGCGCCUAACACAUGCAAGUCGAACGAGCGAGAGAGAGCUUGCUUUCUCGAGCGAGUGGCGAACGGGUGAGUAACGCGUGAGGAACCUGCCUCAAAGAGGGGGACAACAGUUGGAAACGACUGCUAAUACCGCAUAAGCCCACAGGUCGGCAUCGACCAGAGGGAAAAGGAGCAAUCCGCUUUGAGAUGGCCUCGCGUCCGAUUAGCUAGUUGGUGAGGUAAUGGCCCACCAAGGCGACGAUCGGUAGCCGGACUGAGAGGUUGAACGGCCACAUUGGGACUGAGACACGGCCCAGACUCCUACGGGAGGCAGCAGUGGGGAAUAUUGCACAAUGGGGGAAACCCUGAUGCAGCGACGCCGCGUGGAGGAAGAAGGUCUUCGGAUUGUAAACUCCUGUUGUUGAGGAAGAUAAUGACGGUACUCAACAAGGAAGUGACGGCUAACUACGUGCCAGCAGCCGCGGUAAAACGUAGGUCACAAGCGUUGUCCGGAAUUACUGGGUGUAAAGGGAGCGCAGGCGGGAAGACAAGUUGGAAGUGAAAUCCAUGGGCUCAACCCAUGAACUGCUUUCAAAACUGUUUUUCUUGAGUAGUGCAGAGGUAGGCGGAAUUCCCGGUGUAGCGGUGGAAUGCGUAGAUAUCGGGAGGAACACCAGUGGCGAAGGCGGCCUACUGGGCACCAACUGACGCUGAGGCUCGAAAGUGUGGGUAGCAAACAGGAUUAGAUACCCUGGUAGUCCACACCGUAAACGAUGAUUACUAGGUGUUGGAGGAUUGACCCCUUCAGUGCCGCAGUUAACACAAUAAGUAAUCCACCUGGGGAGUACGACCGCAAGGUUGAAACUCAA
rnacentral:rRNA from 1 species